UUUUUGUAGAGUUUGAUCCUAGCUCAGGAUGAACGCUGGCGGCGUGGAUAAGGCAUGCAAGUCGAACGAACCAAACCUUUGAAAUAUUUGAGAGCGUAGCAAUACAAUCGAUAGUAUGGACGAGAUUCAUUGGUUAGUGGCGAACGAGGUAGUAACACGUGGGUACGAACCUAAAAGUCAGGAAUAGCCCAGAGAAAUCUGGAGUAAUACUUGAUACACCCUCCGGGGUAAAGAUUUUAU
rnacentral:rRNA from 1 species